rnacentral:lncRNA from 1 species
GGAGAGAGCCCCCAGAAGGCCUUUGCAGGAGUCAAUUUGAGGCUCUCUUGUGUGGGCCAGUGAGUCUUGAGUGGGAUGAAGAAAAAGAAAACACAGAGCAGAUUUGGUUGGUGGAGGUGGUGGAGGUGACAGCAAAGCGGCCUCCGUAGUGGUUGGCCUUACUUCCUAGGAGGAUUGCGAGAAAAUGCAAAAAAAAAAAAAAAAAAGUCAGCCAGCCUCUCCUGACAUUCAACAGCAGCCCACGUCUAAAUAGUGGAAAAGUUUAUUUGCUUUUUCUGAGGAUGUGCUAAGUGAUUUUGCAGUGUGAGUGGUACGGCCUUCUAGCUCUUAGGCCUGCAUUUAUUAAAUAAAUUUGUUCUCUAACUCAAGUGUUAAGUGUGUAUUAUGAAACCUCAAAGCCAAUUUCGGUGAUUGCAAUGUGCAAAUAUUUUUUAAAUUAUGUAAUUAAAUAGGACUUGGCCUGCGAGGUCCACCCAAGUAAUUUAUUAAUUGAAUAGUCUGAUUUAAUUGUAUGUUAUUUUCCUUUAUUCAGGGAAAGGCCUGCAUCUCUUGCAGAAAUGGGAGCCUCUUGUGUGCCUGUCACUGGAGGUGCAGAGGUCUCUCCAAGAAAUCUUUAGCACCCAAUUAAAUAUUAACCAAGAAGAGGGGACGUGUUCCUUCUGUCCUCGAAACUCUGUUUUGAUGUCGGAGUCUGGUGUUUUUAAAGGGAAAAAAAAUCCUGUGGGGUCAAAUUAUUUAUAAUUUACUCGGUUUAUCGUGACAUUAUUGAAAAGUGAAUCACCCUUUUCCUCUUAAUUGUGCAGGGUUAUAUAAAGGAAGCGUGAUAAAGAGAGAAGCCCCUUGAGCUCAGCGUUAGCUUUAUCCAGCUAUGGCUAUAGCCAUGCUGUAUCUGUUUCCUUAAAAUGUCAUUUUAAAGGUAUUGUGGUUUUAGAGCAGCAGCUGUGACUGAAAAGUAUGUAAACUAAGCUGUUCUUGCUCAUAUCAUUUUUAUAUUCUUAUAGCCUUUUUUUUUUUUUUUCUGUCUUUCUUCCUUGGGAACAUGUGUUCUUUGGGACUUGAGAUACUCAAGCGCUUAAGAAAAUAACAAUUGUGGUGGUGGGGUUAUUUGCGUAUUGUGUUUGGAAGAAGAUGAAUUUAAAUAAUUGACUCUCACAAGGUAGAAAUGGGGUGGGCGGCCUAGCAUCUGUGUUUUAGGAAAUGAAAGCAUUGAGGCAUACUGUACUAAGUCACGUGAAAGGCAGUAACUUUGAGAAGCCCAAAUUGCUUUCCCAAAAGGAAAAUAUUUUUUGUUGCUAUUAAAUAUAGUUUAUAUUGCUACUUCAGAACUUUUUUUUUUUUUUUCCAGUGGGGCCAUUUACUUAAAUUCUUAGUUAAUAUUUCUAUAUAGAAACGUCUUUGUCUCUGGAGCUCGCCUUUGCGAAUUCCCAUUUAAUAUGCGGUUGUGGAUAAGUAUUUAUUCAUACCGUGUGGUACCCCACACCUGAUCAAGUGACAGCAUGGCGUCAUGUCCGCCAGCAAAAUGCUGCAGUGGCUUUUGAGUAAUGGUGGCAAAGAAGGUCUGGAGGGUUAAAGGAAACAACAAUAAUGGGAAAUUUUUUUUCCCUUUCCCAUAGAUUUCAGCAUGUAUAAUGCCUCAACUCUGCUGUGGAAAUUUGGAACAUUGGACAGAGAAAUAUUCCUUUUCCUAAAGAGUUGUAAAAGCAGAGUAGCAAGUCUGAGCUCUUAGAAAUUUCCAUGGUAAAUAUAAUUUGAUUACAUGUGUUCGUAAUUUCCCUCGCAGCUCAGCCUUUCACUGGCAGAGCUGUUUCACAAUGAUAUAUUUCUUUCCAGAUUUUGAAAAUAAAUUUAGCUAAGGCUUGGCCCUGAGAUUCCACUGAUUUGCCGUCAUGACUGCAGGCGCCCAUCUAGGUGUGCCCAAGCAGUGAGGUGACUUGGGGAAGAAGGCGAGUCCCUCAUGUCUCUUGUUCAGCUUGUCCCAGCCCUUCGGUCUCUCCCUGGGCCCCAAGUAGUGGCUUCCUCCAUACAUACAUAAGCUGGUCCUGGUGGUCCUUGCCUCAGAGCCUUGGCAAAGGACCUCUCAGAGCAUGUGGGCUCACAGUCAAUGUGGGUAACAGGUACAUCAAAGUAUUGGCCAUCCAGGAUGGACACAAGGCAUGGCGCUGGGUGGGCAGCGGGGGUGAAGGGUGGGGGUCUCCUCUGUGCCUCUGAGGAUCCUAGGAGGUUCAGGGGAGUGGCUAGGGGUGUAAUUGGAUAGCUUGGGGGCAGAGGCUAUUUCCAUCUGUGUACAAGGAUUUCAGUAUUUGAAUAACUCCUUCAGGUGACCACCGUGUACCAGGUGAGCAUCAUCCCGAGUCUCACUCUUCUUCCCAACAAGGGCACUGAGGUCUGGAGAAAUGAGGGGAGUCUACCAAAUUCUAGUGGAGAAUUACUGGCAAAACCAGGAGUAGAAACACUCUCUUGCCUCCUGAAAUGCAUCUUCUACUCACUUUGCCUCCUCUUAUCUCAGAUGUGGAAAAAUCUCCUUUUCGACUGAUUUCAAACCAGAAUUGAUUAAAAGACAUUUUCUUAGGAAACUGCCACUGUGGCACAAUGGGAUAGACAGUGUCUCUGCAGCUGGAGGGAUGUGGGUCUGAUUUCCAAACCUCCGCAGUAGAUGAAGAAUCCAGCAUUG